GAAAUGCGAUAAGUAAUGUGAAUUGCAGAAUUCAGUGAAUCAUCGAAUCUUUGAACGCACCUUGCGCUCCUUGGUAUUCCUUGGAGCAUGCCUGUUUGAGUAUCAUGAAAUCUUCAAAGUAAAUCUUUUGUUAACUCAAUUGGUUUCUACUUUGGUAUUGGAGGUCUUUGCAGCUUCACACCUGCUCCUCUUUGUUCAUUAGCUGGAUCUCAGUGUUAUGCUUGGUUCCACUCGGCGUGAUAAGUUAUCUAUCGCUGAGGACACUGUAAAAGGUGGCCAAGGUAAAUGCAGAUGAACCGCUUCUAAUAGUCCAUUGACUCUGACUAUACUUUUAUGAUCUGAUCUCAAAUCAGGUAGGACUACCCGCUGAACUUAAGC
rnacentral:misc_RNA from 1 species